GCUUUUGCUAAAAACAGAAUAAAUCAUAAUACGGUGCAAUUUUCAUUCAACUGGGAGGGUAUUUUCUAGCAUGCUUCUCUCCUCUUGCUUCCCAAUGUUGGCUUAAUGUGGAGCAUUCCAGCUCUUCCUGUACCUAGGCAUCCUGCGAAGAGUCCCCAGAGAGUCAUAUCCCACCAGAACCCAAAUAAUUUGGCCAGCCAUGUAUAUGCCUGAUAAUCAUGCCCAUUUUCCAAAGGAUUUUGUCAUUUAUUGGACUAACAUAAACAUAUUUUUUUUAAAUGUUCAGUAUGUAAAGUUUUUCAAGUUAUUUUCUUUGGAGGACUCACCCCUACUAUUUAUAGCCAGCAAGUUACCUUGUAUCCUAUAAUGUCUGAUCACAAUUAAGUCAGCUAGAAACAUCUCCACAGUGACUUAGCUAUGACUAAUGAGUAAAGAAGUUCAUCUUGGGAAAGCGAAUGACUAAGUUGCAAAGGAAGCAUUUAAACAUCUGAACAAGGCUCUGUUCACACCUCUCCUUGUUGAUGUUUUUCAUUCUUUCCACAACAGCCAAAGAAGAGAAAAGGAAGAGGCAGAAGUUUGGACCACAGUGUGUGAUAGUUCUGAGGUGGAAUUCCUAUCUUUCCAUUUGGAGACCUCCUCUUGCUAAAGCCAAGAGGAGACCCAGGCACGAAGUAGCAGCAAAUGCAGAGAAUCUUAUCCGGACACAAGUAGCAAUAAAUUCAUCCUUAAAAUGUAUAGUGUUACCAUGAAUAGUCAUUCUGAGCUAAAAUCCAGAAAACCGUUUUGUUUCUUUAGCGAGGAUACCUGGCCACCUCUAAUGCAAUGAUACAGACUCCAACAAUCUCUUCUUAAGGCCCUGAGAAGAUUUGGCCCUGAGGAAAAGAUUUAGCAUAUCGGACAGCAAAGAAGCCAUACUUAAGGAAGUGUUCUACUAACAUCUUUUACAAGGAAUAAAACUGACUAUAUAGCAAGAUAAAGUGAGAGAAAAUGCAACGUGCUAUACUGAUUUUGUAGUCAGCAAAAGUUAAUGAAUUGCAGAUCACGAGCAACUCAAUGUAAAACCACAGUGUGUGCAUGUUAUGAAAUUACUCCACAAAAGAUUGCUUAAGCAAAUUUACAAUGAAAAACAACAUCAAAACACCAAGGAAGUGAAAUGAAUAUAAAUAUGAAGCACACUUAAACACCCAGGACGCUUAUUUUAAGAAGGAGGAAAAAAAGCUCCUCAACCUUCAAUGACUUUUAUAAACUAUAAAGAAGGAUCAGAUAAGCAUCUAGGUCUUCUAUAUAACAAUAUAUAUUUUACACAAGCAAGUAAGUCCAGCUACAGAAAAUUGAUCUUCUAUUGCCCCUGCAGCCUUGCAGACAGCAUGCAAAAAUCCAUCCAUGGACAGUCUUCAAAGGGUCAAAGUGAAUACACAACACCUGGAGAUGAACAAGAAAAAUUUAAAUAGGGCCCAUGGGUCUCUAAAGAGCAGUUUUUAACUGGCCUAUAAGCUAAUAAGAGUGGUUAUAAACUGUGAACAACCAAUGCCCUACAUGAAGGAACAUUUAUCAUACUAACAUGCCUGUAAAGUGGAGAGGGUUCAUCCGCACGCUCUCUGCAGUUUCUAUUAGAAUGUUAAUUGUUCAUACUGAAGAAAAGGAGACAUAAGGAAUGGCUUUUACCAUCAUGUGUUAAGUUUAUUUUUGUUCCUCUGACCAGUUCCCAAGGGGCAGGAGGCUAAUGACUGUUCUUCAUCAUCAACUGCAAAGGAUAUUUACAUCCAUCCUGUAACCAUGACAGCUGUGUCACUAAUUCCCUAACUACCUCCACCACAUGAACCAAUCAUCUGGCAUGAAGCUGCAAGAUGGAGUGCCCUGCAGUCAUUAUUCACCAAGCACUUUCAUUAACAAACUGCCCUUAAUUACAGUGGUAAUUGCAAAAUUAUUUCAUAGCAGCAAUUAUUUUUCUCAGCCAAUCCAGGCUAUUUAAGUAGGACACUGCCUAUGAAAAUGGCAUAAGUCCAAGUAAUCUAUGACCAAGGAUAUGUUUUAAUUGUACUACCAACUUAGUUUCAAAAUAUUGCAUCAGAGGGCUAUGAAAUUACAUUAUACAUCCCAUUACACACUACACACACAAACGCGCGCGCGCACACACACACAUCAAUAAAAGAAAAGCAAACCUUCCCUACUUUUUUUAAUUUGAAAGUAAAAUGCAUACAUAACAUUCACAUCAAGUACCUAAACUAAAGCCAUUGUCCAGCAAAGUAAAAAAAUGAGCCUCUAGAUCUAAACUUACAUUUUCAGAACUGCUGAACAAACUAACCUAUCCAUUAGAAAUACAUCAACUCCCUUCCAUCCAUUCCUUUUACUUAAAAGCCCUUUGUUCUUUCAUAUUCAUAUGUUUAGAUACUCAGCUAUGAUGAGAAAUACUGGAAUACCUGUCCGUCUGUUGGCCUCAUAAAUAAAAUCACAAAGGAGUUUCCAGAAAUCACAUCCUAAUGUUCAAAAUUAUAGGCUGAAAUGCAUCUAUGCUUACUUUCCUCAAGUUUCAAUGUGAAAAUUCAUAAAAAUUUACCCUGAAGAUGAAACUCGAGUCAUAAUGUCCGAUUUGGGGAAUAGCGAAUUUUCAGUGAAGUUAGAGUACAAGAAAUGCGUGAUCUGGAGACUAGAGAGAUGUGGUCAAAUCAAGAUUAAGCCUUUAAUACCACAAUCAGACUAUAUGAAGACAUGAAUACUAUUCUAAGGAGUUUGGAUGUGAUCUGGUAGAUAGUGAAAACGUGUAAAAGGCAAGGAAAGAAGACAACUUGAAUUCAGAUAGUGGGAAUGGAAAUUGAGGGACAGGUUUGAGAAAUCCAUGAACAAUUUUGCAGGGAGAAUUAUACUUGAUGACUUUUAGGUACAGACAGCAAUGAAGACAUAUUCAAAGACUGCUCUGAGGUUUCCAGCCUGUUGGAAUAGGUAGGUGAUGAGCUAGGUAAUGCAAUAAGGAUCUGUAAUACACAUGAGUAUUUUAACUAUCUAUAGGACAUUAAUCUAGAGAUAUUAAGGAAGUAGCAAGAAUAGUAAUUAACAUUUAUCGCUUAUUUAUAUCCCAGAUGCUGUACUUAAUGCAUUAGAUGCAUUAACUUACUGAACACUCAAAACAAUAGGAUCUUGAAUUAGAUCCUGUUUUUACAAUCAUUUUUAUAGACAAGAAUCCUGAGGCUCAAUGAGAUGAAAGGGUCCAAGGUCACUAUGGCACAGAAUGCUAGUUGCCUUGCAAAUAUCCAUUCUUCUCUCUGUCCUUGGUAACAGAACCCAUCUUUUUUAGCUGUGUCUGGUAAAGAUAACAUUUCUACCUCCCUCACAUCUAGGUCAUGAGCUUUAAGAGGACGUGUUGCAUGGGCUGGGAAAGAAACUGGUUCUGCCAAAAGAAGCUCUUUGUCUUUCCUGCUGCCUAAUAGGCAGCCGCACUGGCAAAAGCUCCAUCUUGGACCAUGAAUGACCUUCAGGAAAAGGGUCACCAACUGAGGAUGGUGAAGCAGAAAAAAGGCGGCUAGAUUCUUCAAAAUUUUGUGGAAGCACCAUACCUGCCCUGGAUUGCCCAUCUCUCUACUUCUUUGGUGGUGGGGGGGACCCAAAACCAAAACCAAAAAAAAAACAACCAACCAAAAACAACAUUACUAUUUAAAUCACUGUUUUGGUAAUUUUGCAGAAAGAAUUAUAUUCCCAUUUACUCAGUAUACAGGUAACCAGGCAAUCCUUUGGGAGACAAAAAGAACUCCUAGAUGACACAGUCACACAGCUAAUAAGUAGCAUAGCCAGAAAUUGAAGGCAAUUCUUUGAUUCUAAAUUCUAUAAUCUUAACAAAAGGGCCGGACUGCUCAAGGGAGCAGUUGAGGCUACAGAUGCAGAUUGUCAAUUAUUGGUUUAUGUACAUCCUGACAGAUUUUGUUACUUCUUCUAUUAUAAAAAUAAUGCAAAAUAGGCAUCAUCAUUCGAAAAGGAAGGUAUUGUCAUUAGAUAAGUCAUAUAGAUGAUGAAGCAUUAACAUCUUACCAAUUUUAGAGAACUAAAAUAAAAAUAAAUAAUCCUAACAACCCUAAAAUUAUCAAGCAUAAUUUUAUCUUCCUGUUGGGGAUCCUGUAGUGUAUUUUUACUAAACAGAGCUACAAAAGAAUCAGCAAGUUACCUAUAUGCUGAGUAAAUGGGAAAAAAUCUAUUUUCAUCUUUUCUAAAUUUUAUUUAUUUAUUCAUUCAGUCAUAUAUUUUUUAGCGACAGUAUCUCGCUUUGUCACUCAGGCUGGAAUGCAGUAGUGCGAUCAUAGCUCACUGUAGCCUAAAAUCCUGGCCUUGGGCGAUCCUCUCGCCUCAGGCUCCCGAGUAGCUGGAACUGCCAGUACAUGCCACCGUGGCUCACUAAUUUCUUUAAAGUUAUUUUUUGUAAGGAUGAGGUCUCUCUAUGUUGCCCAGGCUGGUCUGGAACUCCUGGGCUCAAGCAAUCCUCCCGUCUUGGCAUCCUCACUUUGGUGCUGGGAUUAUGGGCAUCAGCUACCAUGUCAAGCCCUUUCCUAAAUUUUAAUUAGAUGAAAAUCUAGUUCUAUAAAGAAAUGAAAUACCAAUGAUUUUGCAGUAAAGUGUGUUUCCAUAUAAAUAUAAAUUGCAAUUUCUUGUGUCAGAAUCUUGAAUAAUUUAUAGGAUUAAAUCAGUUAUUAUUUUGAAUUUCCUAUGCAGGUAGGUGUUCAUAGUAUUUCCCUAUACUAUAUUAUAAACUAGUAUUAAAUAAAACAAUAAUAUUUUAUUCCUACAAGAAGAAUUGUAAAAUUAAUGUUUAUAUCUUCAGUUUUAUCUUGAAUGCUUGAGUAUCCUGAAGUUGGUGGGAAUCCAGGAAAAAAAUGUUUCAUUUAAUUAAAUAUAAGUCAGGUCUCCAAGCAGAAGGAUGAUGUAGUCACAUGUUUUGUGAUGAAAAUACCUCUAAAAAUCGAAGGAAAGAGAUCUUUUAUGUAAUUUAGGGGAAAAAUUAAUGUGAGCCUUUCCAAAGAGAAUUUAUAUUCUCUUGUUAAAAUAUUAUUUUUAAAUUUCAUUAUUUUACUAGAAUUCCAAAUCUAGUCUUCCUUUGUAGCAAAGACAUAAGACAAAUGAUUAUUCUAUCUAAAGCAACCAUUGCUAUAUUUUUAAAAAUCCACAUAGUUCAUACUUUUAACAACAUUACAGCCAGUAAGUGAAUGUAUUUCAUUUUGAUGAUUUCAUAUAUUGCAUUAAUGAGAAAAAUUGAGGCAUAUUAUCUUAGGAUCUAAAAUAUUGUGCAAUUGUAAGUUUUAUGCCAGCCUUCAAGUAAUUCAGUUUUUCAAAGACAGUAAAGGGAAAAGAAUCUGACCUAGACAGUCUCUCCCUUAACAAUGAAAGUAAUUCCACUUAACAAUUUGUUUUUCUUCCUGAAGAGUUGCAAGAUUGGUAAGAAGCACUGGAUUAAUUCUAUAUUCUCUCUGCUUAGGUAUGUUUUCAACAUCCUAUGGAAUAAAUAUGCUAGUGGUAAGUACACAGUACUUGGGGAAAGAUGCAUUUUGUAGGACACUCUAGACCCUCUGUAGUGACUAAAAGCAAACAUAAUAAAACAAUCUGACAUGAAUUCAGUGUUUCUCCAUUUACCAAAACUUCUUUGAGCACUUUAAUACAUGCAAAUGAUAUUCCGAUGCAUUUUUAAUGUUUGACCCAGAUUACACAAAAGAAUACUAGGGUAACAAAAAACUUCGUAUACUUCAUCUGCAAAUAUUGGAAAGUAAAGAUAGGUGGUAAACUGCUACAUCCAUUAUGUCAUGGAUUCCUCUCCUUAAUAUCCUAGUUCCAAUAGCUGCUAACUACUAAAGCUUCCUGUGGUGUUCAGAUCCUGUUGUAAACUGUCCUCCAAGAUUGUCUGACUACAUUACGACAAUGGGUUUGUCUUCCUGACAAUUUUGCAACAGUGGUGUGAUACUCCAGGCAACAUUCUGUAGGGUUAGAGUGAUGCUUGAGGGAGCCAGUGGAAUGCCAUCAUCACCCACAAAUGCACCAUCUGCUGUGUCUUACUGCUUAAUUAAACUAAAACUGGUAGGUUCUUAAUUCUCACAGCUCAUAAAAAUAAAGGUCACAACAGAGCACUGGCAUCAUGCAUCAUCCACAUAACAUACAGUCACUAAAGUACAUUUUGCCAACCUAUCACUCAAAAGAAAAAAGAAAUAUACCAUCUAGCUGGCGUCAAAGCAUAGAAGGAUUCUAUCAGACUGACAUCAGAUCAAUGACAGGACAGCUGAACUGUCAGCCUAAGUGAGCAGGAGGACAGAAGCUUCAAUGCGUGGCCAUUGUUCUUUACCUGUCUCCUGUAGCACUUGCCAAAAAAAAUUCUUCCACACACUGUAACAAGACCUCUUGUGAACUUUUUUGCUAAAUCACCCAUUCAUUCAUUCUUCAACCAUUUAUCAAAAGCUUACAUAUGCAAGGGAUUGUGUUUAGUAUUUUGGUUGAUGCAAAAAUGAAUCUGAGGCAAGCUGUUAAGUCUAUAUAGCUGCCAAAGACUUCAUUAGAUAUAGUCUUAUGUCAAGUAUAUAUAACACUUUUAUUGAGAUAUAAACACACCAAUUUAUAGUGUAUAAUUCAAUGGUAUUUAAUAUAUUCAUAGAGAUGUGCAACUAUCACCAUUACCUAAAUUCAGAACAUUGUUUUCAACCCAAAAAGAAACUUCAUAUCCAUUGAUAGUCACUUCUUGUUCGCCUCUUAUCCCAACUCCUGGCAACCACUAAUCUACUUUCUGUUUCUAUACCUUUUGACUUUUCUGAAGAUUUCACAAAAGUGAAAUCAUACAAUAUGUGGCCUUUGGGCUUUUUCCACUUAGCAUAAUGUUUUCAAGGCUCAUCCAUGUCAUGGAAUGUAUCAGUACUUCAUUCUGUAUGAUGGUUGCAUAAUAUUCCAUUGUAUGGCUAUACCACAUAUUGUUUAUCAAUUAAUGGAUAUUGGGUGUUUCCAUUUUUUUUGUUAUUAUGAAUCAUGCUGCUUAAUAAUAUAAUAUUCAUGUACAUGUUUUGCACAGACUCGUUUUAAUUCUGUUGGGCAAAUAGCUAGGAGUGUAAUUGCUGUGUCAUAUUGGUAACUCUGUGUUUGACACUUUGAGGAACUGUCAAGCUGUUUCCAAAUUGGCUGCACCAUUUUACAUUACCACUAGCAACAUAUAAGAGCUCCAGUUUCUCCACAUUCUUGCCAACACUUAUUUUUGUCUUCUUGUUAAAUUCUAGCUAUCCUAAUGGUUGUGAAGUGGAACCUCACUAUGGUUUUGAUUUUAAUUUCUCUAGUGACUAAUGACAUUGAACAUCUUGUCAUGCUUAUUGGUGAUGUGUAUAUCUUCUUUGGAUAAAUUUACUAUGUAUUUUGAGCAACUUUUAAUAAACUAUUUGGUAGAAAUACAUAAAAUAUUAUACCUGUAAUCUUAAAGCAAUAUGUGACAUUUCCCAACAAGCCACUAAUGUAUUUUCUUUCCCCGAAGUUCCUUUUGAUAUUUAAAUAGAAACUCUAAGAUAAUAUCUAAAAACAGAGAAGUCUUGAAAUUCCACAGCAUAAACAUGGAAGUGGGGUGCAGGAAAAGGUGGAUAAAAUUUCACUUGAUUAGAUAACUCUUUCAAGCCAAUAGCCCAUUUCCCAAAUCUAUUGAAAGUCAACUAGUAAGAAUUUCUGAAGAUAAAUGAUGUGAAAGAGGUUGAGGUACAGAAAAUUCAAGAAGAUAAAAUAAUGGUAAGAACAAUAGAGCACAAAUUCAAUUUCCAAUCAAGGAAAUUCAAAAAAUGUUACAAAGGUAAAGCAACUUACUUGGACUUAGUAGUAGAGAGGUAACUAAGAUAACUAAGAACUGAGAGAUAACUAAGAAUUAGUUCCUAGGACAGUGGAUGAUUAUAGUAUCACUUGCCCAAAGGAAGAGGGCGUAGGAGAAAGAGGUGAACAAAACAAAACAUAAAUAUUCUGAAGGAGGAUUCAUUAUACAGCAGUGGUUUCUGCUGCUCUUUUAAGAGAAGAGAUAUGAAAAAGGAAAAAAAAAAAUAAGUGGGAUCAAUCUAAUUUGGGCCACAAUGGAUUUGGUGUAGGAUAUGUAAGUUGCUGUUCUGGGAGAGAGAAACAGAUAGCCAUACAAAGAACCCAGAAAGUAGUCAGGAGACGGUCUGGGUUAUGGAUGCUGCAGGAAAAGGAAGAGCCACAGUCAUUCAGAUAUCAAGGAGAAAAACCCUGCCGCCUUCUUAACUCCUGUCAAACCAACUCACUCUAGUUUCAAACAAUGGGGAACAACUUAACUCAGUGAUAUAGUCAUAUGAGAUGCUAAUGAAUGAAAAUAAUUGAUCCUCAUUAUCUCUUCAAGAUCGUUAAUGCACCCGUAAAGGUAAUCACGUCUUCUUUUAUCAUGCAUCUUGAACUUUCUUUGCUAUGUAGGUUUUUAACUACCUAACAUUUUUCUCCAAAUAAUACAAAAGAAAACAUCAACAAUAAAAAUGAUAAUUUUGGUGCCACGUUCUCACCAACAAACAAAAGCAGCCAAAAUUGUGAAGAAGUCAGCACUACUACUUUUACAUGCUAUAUACUACCAAGCCCCGAUCGAUAAGUCUGUUCUCUCUUGUUGGUGUAUCCGUGGAAAAGGUGCAUGACAGCAGAAACAGAGACCUUAAAAAGCAAUUAAAGGUGAGGAAUCUCCUGCCAAACAGCUAGUACAGACGGAACCUUUUUUUCCAUAGAGCUUAGCCUCAUUCCACAGCCAAGAAAAAGCUUGAUAAGUACUAUAUGAUGAACAAGUGAUAAAAUUUAUGAAAACUGAGAUGAGGAAUGACCAAUGGGAGAAACAAGGUGCCACUCAGAGCCUGAAUGGGUUAUUGUGCUUCCUGUUUCCUGUAGGUGGCGCCAAACUCCUUGAAGAGGAAACAGAAAACAAAGUUAAAAGGCUGGUGUAUGUCUAGAUUGAAGCGCUAAAGAAUUUGCUUGUGAGUUGGCAAUUUCUCCUCCAAGGCAGCUCUUCAUCAGUGCUAUUGGCAAGCUCUAGAUUUCAGAAGUGAUUCACCUGCGCCGUUAUUUAUGAGCUGCCUUUUCUCCUUUAAGCGCCCAGCUUACAUUAACAGUACCACCAGCUUCACUGCAGAGCUCAACCGUGCCUAUCACGUAAAUGGAAGGUUCGUUAAAGCAUCUAUUAAAGGGAUUUUCAAAGGCAAAACAGCAUUUUAAAGCCAUUAGCAUCCCUUAUGUUAGGUUCUAUUGAAGAAAUGUUACCAAACUGCUAUCUAAAACCAUCAACCAGAAAUAGCCAUAAAGUCACUAGACAAUCCCUUGGAUUCUCUACCCAGAGGGCUCUCACAACCCUAUAUGCUCCCUAUCUUUCAGGCCUUGGAGUGAGAGAGCAUCAACAUGACUUCUAGGAGCAUGUCCCAGAUGUGCAUCUCCUGGAGGCAGCCAGGGGUUGGACAUCAGUCAUCAAUAAGGGUCCUUGCCAAAAAGAAGCUGUAGGGGUCCGCAAGGAAGCAGGAGGCUUGGUCAAACUGGAAUAAAAGCAGUAUGAAGAGAAGGGUGUGUCUUGGAGGGCAUACACAGGCAAGCAAGAAUUAGAUAUUAUGUACUAGGUUUUCACUAUUAUUCUCAAGAUCCAAUUUUUGUAACAGACAUUUUCUGCCAACCUCCUAAAAUUUUUAAACAACAGCAGCCAAGACUGACUUCUACUCGGCACAAUUACAUAAGACCAAGCAGUGUGUUGCUCUCAUUUUCGAAGCUUUGUUUUAAGCUCCCUCAUUAAUCUUUCAGUCUUUUCCCAUCUCUGCCUGACUAUAACUGCCCUGAAUUUAUCCAAGCCUGCAGAAUGCCAGGCUCACUGGAGUCUAAAUCACCAAGAGCUGAAUACACAUUCUACUCAUGGGACUCUACACUUCCAUCAGAAGGAACCAAUCACAGCUUAGGAGAGGAUUCAUUCAUCCAGAAGACUGAACAAAAAGUACAUUUUUGUCUGGAAUACAUAAGAAAUUAUUUUUAACUUAAUUAAAAUGGCUUGUUAGAAUCACCUAUUCAGCAUGUGGAAAACCAGCUGGGUUAUCCUGUCAAACCUCUGCACAACAUACCUACUGAGACCCAACUUCACGAUUAGAAAGCAAGAGAGUAUAGUGAUGCAAACUGAACUCCGGAACAAGAGUUCAAACUACGGCACUAUCUCCUACCAGCCUCAGGUGACCAACCCUCAAUGUCCUCAUUUGUAAAGUGAAGACUGUGUUAGUAACUAUCUCAUGGAUUACUGGAAGAUUAAAUAAAAUUAUGCAUACAGAGUACCAGAUACAUUAUUGGCCAAGUGUCUCUGAUAUGAAGACAUCCAGAACAACAAUCCAAAUUAACCUUUUGAGAGCCUAAAAAUUAGGACUUAUUUAAGUCUCUUCUGAUUUCUGCCUUCCCCAACAUUUACUACCAUGUUCAUUACUGCAUGCUAAUCUCAACAUUUUUUCCAUAGCUUACAUCAUGACAGAUGUUUUGUCCAGAUUUCACAGUAAAUUUAAUGGGCGAGAAACAGUGCAAUUAUUUAUAAAGUUAUUGUUUGUAGACGAAAUUACAUUUUCCAAGAAUAUAGCUAGUUAAGUUAUAUAUGUCUUUAUUCCUUCAAUAAGUAUUUCUUUAGUGCCUAUUAUGCACCAUAACAGGUGAAUCACAUACUUUUGCAAAAAGACAAGGCAAUACCUUAUGUGCUAAAUUCUCCCGUCUGCCUGCAUCACACGGUUGUUUGAAAGGAAUGUUACAAUUUUUAUGAGUCAACUUAAUUAUAUACUAUCUAAAUAUAAAUAUGUACAUACACAUGCACACUACAUACAUAUUUAAAACCCAGUCUCUUUUGGGAAGACAAAAGACCUUUUAGUGGGCUAAAAAAGUCCCUUUGAAAGUUGUCAGUAUAUCUUAUGGAAUGUGCUAAGGAAAGAAAAUAGAGCGAUUCUGUUUUUCUGUAGCUGGAUGAGAUUAUGGUGUUUUAUUUGAUUCUGUUUUCUGUAUUAACUUUUAUAGGCAUCCUGUUUUUUACUUCUGUUAGUUAUUUUUAUAACUUUAAUAAACUUUCAAUAAAUUUUAAUGAACUAUUAAAUUUAAAUAAAUAAAUUUUAAUAAACUUUCAACCGGUAUUUAACUACUCUCAACAUAUUCCCAAAAGAUCACUUUAGUCUCUUUUAAAUGAAGGACAAAUAAUUUAGCACUUUUAUACUUCCUUACUCUACCUUCAAGUUUUCCAAUUAAAAAAAUAUCAGAAUAUUUUUCAGUUUUGAUUUAUAAUUAGAAAGCUUGCCUGGAAUAUGGUAUGGUAAAUCAGUACCCAAGAUCAGGUCUCUUUUAGAACUGAAAAAUAUCCCUCCAAUAGUUAUCACAGUGGACUCAUUUGUUUUGCUGUGUCUUCCACAAUAAUCCCCAUCAGUUCUGGGUUGGAUCUGUGUCUUUCGAGGCUUCUUUGUUGCAGUCUGGGCAUUUUUUUGAAGUCUAUCCUCUAUCACCCUGAAAUAGGAGAGUUCCCUGACCCUCCUCCCAGGACAUGCAACAGGGGUGUGGCUCCUCUGUUGCGCUGUUGCAUCCUCAAACACCUUACAGGAGUGGGGGCACACAGACAAGCAGGUGCAGGAGCCAGGGAGAGUGAUUUGGGGAACUGGUCCCACAGUAGUGGUAGCGUCUAGGGCUGAGUGCCUGUGACUCCCAAAGCCCCAGUGGGUGUGCUACAAUGCUCUUUUAGCUCUGCUGUCCACAGACUGCUUAAGUGUUACCCAGCUCAGUGCCCUCUUGGUACCUGGGUUUUUGUCCAGCAUCCAGGAAGAAUCAGGUCACACAAAUUGAAGGAUGGUAAAUGCGGGGGAUUUUAUUGCUGGAUGGAGAUGGCUCUCAGCAGGAUGGAUGGCGAGCUGGAAAGGGGAUGGAGUGGGAAGAUGACCUUCCUCUGGAGUUCAAUUGUCCCAUGGCCCAUCUCCUCUCCCACCGUCCUCAGCUGAACUCCUCAGUGUUCAGAUGCUCCUUCUCUUCUCUCCUCUGCCAAGGCAUUCUGCUGCUCUUCUGCUCCUCUGCUCUUCUGCUUGUGGAGCCUAGGAUUUGGAGUUUACAUGGGUACAGAAUAGCGGGGUGCAGCAGGCCAAAAGACAACACUUGGGUGUCAAACAGGAAUGCCUGUUCCCAUUUAGGACCAUGGGUUUCUGGGCUUAAGGGUGGAGACUUUGCCAGGGAACUACCCUCUUUUAGCCAGUAUUUCCCUGCUGUCUGUCCAAAUCAACUGGAUGAAUUUUCUAAGUCAGCUUUUUAUUUACAGUGAAGAUUUAUUGUAUCUAGUUUAAUCUUCAUUUCAUUUUACUCUUUUUAAAAUUCUCAUUUACUAGAUGUAAACUCUUUAGGUGUCUUACUGAGUUUACAAAACAGAGCUUUUCUAACUGUUUCAUAAAGCAAAAUUGUUUCAGAAAGACAUGCUACAGAUCUCUACAAUGUCUUUGCUUUGGAGCUAUAGAAUUUUGUUUUAAUUAUUCAUCUAUAAUACAUGAUUUCUUUUUUACAUCUUUGGGCUUGGUUUGACAUUGGCCUUUAGUGCUUACCAUGCUUGAAGACUGCUUUUAAGUCCUUCCUAGCAAUUGACUUACAUUAAUAAGUUAGAUGCGUGUCUUCGGUGCCCUACAUGUGCUAAGUACUAUCCUGGGUGUUGAGGAUUCAAUAAGAAGGAAUCUACUCCCAUCCCCAUCUCUUCCUUCCCCACCCUCAUGAAGCUCAGUCUUCUGGAGGAGACAACAAAAUCCCACACUAGCAACUGAAUAUAGAGGUCUUUGCAGAUGCCCUUGUGUUCAAAGUGGAGCCAAAGGAUGACUGGAAGCAGGUGCCGAUCCUGGUUCUUGACUUUCAAACAUCUAAAGUCACAGACCAGCCCAGAACCUGGGUGAGAGUCAGAAGCCAGUUCAAUGAGAACCACUUCCACCCUAUCCAGAAGCUGAGUAAGUCAAAGAAGGAGCAGGUUAGCAGCUGUUACCAAAUCCACUAACACUCAGCAGCACUGGAAAUGAGCAAAAGGGAAACUGGCCAGUACAUGUUGAACAGGAUUCCAUGACUAGCAGCUGAAACAGGGAAGAGAGGAAGAGGAAUCAGGUUGCAGGUUGGGGGCCUGGUUAAGAAGGAGCAACUCCAUCUGAUUUCAACUACAGCAAAGAAUGUAAAAUUCCUUCCAGAAACUAGAAUGGGCUCAAUGCCUGACACUCAUUAUGGUUACUUCCGGGGAUUUGUUUUUUUUUUUUAGACAAUUUCAUGGAUAUUUUAAAGGAAAUAAGGAAGACAUUGUUCAUAGCACUUCCACACACUCUACUAUAUUCUUGGAAGUCAGUGGUUCAAUCUCAAAUGAAACUUCUCACUAACAUUAUGUUCAGUUAUUUAUGCUCCCUAAACAAUGAAUGUUUUUAGGCAAAGAUUUCCUAGCCUUUCCAACUGAACAAAAGAGCCUCCCACACACAGAGACACACAUUUCCAUUCUGAAAGCCCUGCAGGCAGAUCUGUGAAGCUUGCCAUCAUAAGACUCAUUUAAUUUUAAAUUAAAUUAAGGGCCCAAAAGGUAAGCACAUUGUUCAGGUUAUUCCAACUAAUGUCCUAAACUUACAAUUUCAAUGAUUCUCCAUCCAAUUGAUGACUCCUGCUAUAAUAAAGAAUUCAUGAACCAUGGAAACAACUGACAAAAAUAAAAUAAAUAAAUAUCACUCAUGGCUUAGAAGAAAAAGCAUUCACACAGUCCAGUUCCUAACUCAAAGAGAGUAAAUAUGUGCAGGAAAUUUUUAUCAAGAUUUUACCAAGUCUAUAGCUGUAAGGAAAAAAAAAGGGGGUACAAAGGCUGCCUUUCUAAUAAAAAUAAAAGUAUGAAGGACCCAAAUUUCUGACCACUAUCACGUGACAGAUAUAUAAAUAUUCACAUAAGCAGAACUAGUUGAGAUGGUAAAAUGUAACUAAAAUGAAAUAGUCUUUUUUUUUUCUUUUUUUUUGAGUUCAACACAGCCCUAAGGUUUCCCCCUCCCUGGGUGGGGAAGAUUCUGAUGGAUUUCUUUAUUAUACAUACAUUUAUUGAUCCAAUUGUCCCAGUUUUUAUGAAGUUUACUAACAAUACUGAGGUGCCUGAAUAUAAGAAGGGGUAAAAAAAGAAAGAGAAAAGAACCUGAGUUGGAAAUUCUCAAAGAAUACUGUAUGAGGAAGUCUACAGGGUAAGCACAAUCAUUACUGAACCAUCUGAUUAGCUGUGGGCUGAGUAUGGAAACAGGAAUUCAAAGAGAGUUGCUAGUCUCUUCCCUCCCCAGUCUUCCCACACUGGAAAACAAGGACAGAAUAAGGAAUGGAGCGGAAGAAGAGAAGACAGGUUCAGGAGAAUCAUAGAUGGGGCAGGUAGAAGUUAGAAGGCCAUUUCAAAGAGGACACUAAUAGAGUUUGAAAUAUUGAAAGUGGAGCAGAUCUAUUAGGUGUGGCAUGUGUGUGCACAGCCAAAGUGAAAUGAAGAUGAAGGUCGUUUUAGCUGAGGGAUUUAAAGAACUAUGAGAUCUGGGUAUUAGUAAAGCCAUCAAAAGGAAUCCGCUAUUCACUAAGGAUUCUGCAUUGAAUCAGUGAGGAAAAGGUGAGCUGAUCUUGAAGCAACCAUGGUCCCAGAAGUGUUAUUAGGGAAGUGCGGUGGGGCAGGGGUGGUGAGAGGUAUGUAAAGUUGGAAUGGUAUGGCGCUUACAUAUGCUUGAUAACGUGUCAAUUUCCACAUCUAAGAAUGGAGAAGAUCACAUUGAUUACAGGGGAUUACCCUUAACCCAUCUUUUGCUUGAUGCCUCCACUGAGUAGAAGGUGGAUUCGAGCGGUACAACUACUUUAUGUAAAUUUAAUGAAUUUAAAGUCCUUGAGAAAUAAGAAUGGAAAUAACCUGACAGUAAAAAAAUAUAUAUUUAAUCCCUACUUGUCAACUCAGGAAUAAAGAGAAUGGGAAGGAAAAGUGAUGUUCCUUGGCCACUCCUGGAUCUCCCUGCGUUUCCCCAAGAGCAUCACUCCAGCCAAAGACCAGCUGACAUUUUCUCCCCAGGCAUGCUUCACUUCUCACUCUACAUACCCUGUGUGAGGUCCUCCUUACCUCACCAGUCCCAGACCAGAUCUUCCAAUUGCUUACUGGUCUUUUCUUCCUCAUGUCCCAUCGGUUCUUCAAAAUCAAAGCUUUUUACCAAAUUCAUCCCCUCUUUUCCAAUCUGACUGCAACAAACUUAGGACCAACCAUCUUUUCUCACCUGAUUUUCCAAAUGGUGUCCUAACUAGCCUCCUACUCCCCUAGAAUAGCCUCUAUACUAUCAACAGGGCAAUCUCUCUAAAGGACAAUCUGAUCAGAUCACUUAAAACCCUCAAUGGCUCCUAAUGCCUAUGGGAUGAAGCACAAAGCCACUUAAGCUCUGAGUCAUGCUCUUCUGUUCAAAGAGAGAGAGACAGAGAGAGAAAGAAUGCCCGACAUGCCUCCGUCAAAAUCAUUGGGAGGAUCAAAUAAAAAUGUAUGGAGAAGCACUUUCAAAACUAUAAAGCUUAUCUAGUGGUUCUUAGUCUUUAUGAGGUCACAGUCCCUUUGGAGAGUCUGAUAAAAGCUCUGGAGUUUUCUCAAAACCACAAACACAUACAUCCACCUACACAUAAAAUUUGGCAUCCAAUUUCAGAGCAUCCAUGGUUCCUCAAAGACAAUCUUGAUCAAGAACCCUUACUUAGGUAUUUUAUUAUUUUCAUAUUGGUACGUAGAAUUGGAGUCAGUAUCAUCUUGAUAGCAUUUCCAGCCUUACAAACAAGCAAGCAGUUCUCCUGUGGGCAGUCAGAUUAUUCAUGAAGAUGUCUAAAAUAUUCAUCAGCAGGGUCAUUGGGCACAUAGUGAAUAUAGGCAGAAAAUUAGUACAGUAGUUAGCUCACAGUCAUUUCAUCAGAGUGCAGCUGUCCCUACACACAACUGCUCGAAAAGAACAGGUUAUUUUGAAAACAAUCAGCUGAAUUGAGACCAAAAAAAAAAAAAAAA